rnacentral:misc_RNA from 1 species
CGGAAAUUAGAAAUUCAAAAUAUCUCGACUUUAGCAUAAUCUGCACGUUGUCAGAGUUCCUUGCUAUGGUGGGUGAAAGUUAGCAAAAUGUUUAAUACCUCCGAGCUUUCUCGCUCUACUUUGUCGCCUUUUACACCAAGAAACACGUCAAGGAGAAGUCUUAGUUCUCCCGGGCAGUCAAGUAGAUUAUUUCCUCGUUCAAACAGGUCAGGUACCCACUCACAGAAACCUUCAAUUCCGGCAAGAGUUAUAGAAGAGACACCUUUACAUCUUGUUGAAACCUACGGACUACCUUUGCCGGUUCAAGUGAAUGAAGUUGCUGCAGCUCAUGAAAGAUCCUCUCCUGUCAGUGUGCAUUUAGAUCCUUCUGGCUGGGCAUGGCUGGUUUUCGAAAGAAGGUUGUUAGUUUGGAGAUACAAAUCCACAGAAAAAUCAAAGGCAACAUUUUGCAAAGAGUUUGUUCUCCCACCAACGGAACUCUACAAUAGUGCUAAACUUGUGUGUCUGGUUGGGGCUCCAAACAUCGACUCCAGGCAGUAUGGAGUGCUUGCGGUCUCGCCUGAAGGUCUGGUUUGUUAUUGGCCGAGUAUGAUGUACGAGAGCAGUCCGAUUGAAACCGAAACAGAGCUGGUUGGACAAGAAUUUCAUUCAUUGAUUGAGUUUCAACCUCAUGGUUAUUUACUGUCUACUACAACAAAUGAUAUCUUAUUGUUACAAAUACAGAAGAAAACCAUUUCAUUUCAUCGUUUUCGUCAACCUGGCGGAGUGCUUUCCGGUUUUGGUCGCCGAAUGUCGUCUUUCAUUUUUGGCGCGAAUGAAUCCAGCUCUUCGCUUUUACGUAAAAUAAUUGUGGAAAAGGAUUGCCAAGGUUCCUUAAGAAACUUUUAUGCUCUCUCUGAAAACUCUCUUCGCAAGUGGACUGCUGAAAAUCAUGGAGGCAGAGGAAUUAGCGAAAAGACCGAAGUGGAGUGGAAUAUCUGCGCUCUUUUUGAGCAACAAACGUCUCAACGAUUUCAGAUUGGCUUAGAUAAAGUGAAGUCAUUUUGUAUUGACGCUCAAGAAUCCAGUUCUGGAAUUUCAGUCUUAUCAGCGAUGCUUGUUCAAAAUCCAGAACUUGACGAGGCGCGAAUGUAUUAUUUUCUAGGAACUCUCGAUGUCGACGAUGAAAGUGAUACAUUUGGUCGAUUUGUUUCCUUUGUUCAACUCAGAUUUGCCGAGGAAUACAAGGAGGAAUUGCAUCAAAAACUGGUGGAUUUUCAAUUGCUUAUUCCUGCUUCAAGUAAACAUGCGUUUUUGUACAGCGAGAAUAUCAUUGUUCCUUUUUCAAUCAAAAAUACCGAUGAAGUUUUGAAUAAGGUUGAAUUUCUUGCCGAAGAUGAAGGAUUAUGGGGAUCUGGUUUCUCGGAAAACUUAGCGUUGUUUUUCGUGAGAAGACACGGCAUUAUCAACAUCACAGCUACGACAGAAAAUGAAUCUGAGAGUGAGACCGAACACCUGGCCUCGCCACAUCAGCUCGCCUCUGAAAUACCAGCGCAAGAAGAUAACGUUGGCGCAGGCGAUAACAUGGGGACGUUGAGGACAGCAUUUUUACAGUUUUGUCAAGGAAAUAAGGACCAGGCACAAACAAUGUGUGAGGAACAAUUUGAAGAUAUCUCACUGUUCGAAGGGGUAUCAAGUUUUGACAAUGCUGUUGUGAAUGUUAGUCAAGAAAUUAUCGAUGAUUACCCGGCCUCUGAUCCCAGAUGGGCUGAGGCUGUUCCAGCCGAUUCUGGUUCAUCAUCGGCUUCUCUUAUCAUUAUCCAUCAACUAGAGGACAAACUUAAAGCUCACGAUUACUUUGUACAAUUCUUGAAGGAGGUUUUUCUGUCUCAAAAGCUGUCCACGUUUCAACAGUUUGGAAGGAUCGUUAAUACAAGGCAUUCAUUGUGUGGUCAUGCUGAGAAGCUCAAGUUUGCAAUAGCUCUGAGAAGGCAGCACAACAAACAUCAGGAGUUAAUGGACGGUGCAAUCGAGCUGGUUAUGAAACGCAGAGAUCAAGACUCGGCUCCUAAAGGUCUUACACAACAAGAUUUGUUUUACCGUGAGGUUAGCCGAAUUUCAGACGUUAUUUCUGGGCUACUGGAAUUUGAGAAGUAUAAGUUAUCCCAACAACCAACAAAGCAAGAUUAUCAGGAGAUCAUUAUGGCUGUAAAUAGUAUAUUGGAAAAUACUCUUCAAGAAGCCUGGCAGUAUCGUCAAGCAAACGAACAACACUACACUUCAUCUCGCGAUGAUGAAAUAUUCGUCGAAUUCUUACCUUGGACAGCAUCAACCGGUCCUGAUGGAACUAGGACUCUUCUUCUUGAACAGCUUGACAUCACUCGCGACAGAGCGUUUCCCUUAGCUGAGGACCAGAAGACAAAAGCCGUGUUAGUUCAACAACUUGUCCAUCUCUCGGAUAUCUUACUUGACGGUUAUGUGACACAAUUGAACUCUCUAAGAAAUCUUGACGAUCAAUCCAAAUUUGAGGAAACCACUCAAAAAUACGAGCUUGAUCGCCGUCGAGUUAUCUCCCCGUUAGUUUCUCGUGGCUACCUCGAAGAGGCGCUUUCACUUGCCGAGAAAUAUCGAGAUUUUGACAUUUUGAUCGAAAUUUGUGAAGAACUCCAAGACCAAGAUAAACUACAGCACUACAUGAAUCUGUUCAGCACUGAGAAUUUCUCAGAUUUUGCUUUCAAAUGGUAUAUGGACAGAGGCAAGCGAAGCAAACUCAUGAGUCAGCCAACAACACAACAUGAGAAUCUCUCGAAGUUUUUGUCAUCUCACGACCACCUGAAGUGGCUUCACGACAUCGAGAGACAUUCAUUCUACCAGGCUUUCGAUACACUGAAAGACUUAUCUGAAAAAGAAGAGAUGUAUUUGGGACGGAAAAAGACCUUACUUAGUCUCGCCAAGUUGGCGUUGCUUGCCUCAGAUGAAAGUGAAGAUGAAAAUGUUGUACAAAUUUUAGAUGAUAUAACAAAUCAAGAAACUCUGAUUACACAUCAAGAAACCAUUCCUUCUGAGAUACUACAGAGUGUUUCUGUAGACCCGGUGGACAUGCCACCUCUCACACCAGAUCAACUAAUAGAGCUUUAUAUAAGCGACGUGAACAGAAAUCGUGAUGAAUCUGAUUUCAAAAAAGCUUUGGAUGUUUUGCACAUUGCAUAUACGGACGAAGAUCAACGCGAUGAAUACGAAACACUGCGGUUGAGAAUUUGGUGCCAGGCCAUUCUCGUAGACGACUGGGCAAAUAUGGAAGCGGACGAUCCCAUAUUGGCCGCAAGGAAUACGGUAUUCUUUAAAACGGUCGAAGUAGCUUUGCACGAAGGGUUUGAUUUAGCCUCAUACUUGCCGUCCCUCGAAAGUUUUUUAAAUUCCGAGGAUCUCAAAGCGGUUGGACUGCCCGAGAACUCCACGUUCCAGUAUCUAUUGCGUGCAGGAUAUGAACAGAUUCUGAGAACGCACAGUGACAUGGAUUUUGAAAUUUAAACUGUCGUAAUGAAAACUUCACGCACUAAGGCAUAUCUCGUAAGCCAUAUUUACAUCCAGCUAUCAAAAUCGUUUGUAAUGAUAAGAUUCGUCCAUGAAACAAUCCUCAUGUCGAGUCAAAAAAUAUAAUCAAAGUGGCUAACCUCAGCAGUUCGCAUAUGACAUGUUAUCCUCUCUGAGAUGCCUCAAUUAUGUCGGAGUUUUAAGCUUCCGAAAAGCAACUGGAUUAAAUCUCUGCAAUGCAUUGUCGCUUUGCUCGUUCUCCUUCUGAUCUUGAUAUGGAAAUUUGAACAAGUCCGCGUACUUACUAGAAGAAGCAAUUUUUUUAAAUCAUCGAAACCUCAAGCCAACGACACAGCAAUAACGGAAGAAGAUUUGGUUGCUUCGUACAGUAUCGUGGAAACAGUAAACCCUGCAUUCGCUUGGAAACCUGUAGUUUUACACCUUUCACCAAAAUCCUCGAACAAUUUCAAAGUGGGCCGAAGUACAUUUUGGGGAAGAGCAAAGAGCGACCUUGAAAUUAUUUCACUGAAGUUGUUCAAGGGCGAACUCCCCCUGGAAAUAUUACGCGAUAUUGUACACAGACCGAGAGCGGUACAGCGCAGGGUAGAUGGGUGAAAUGUGG